GUAGCCAGUCAUGUCCUAUUUGUCAACAGCGAAUCAUAGUUACAGGUAUUAUAUAUGUCAACAAUGUUGUUUUAUUCCACUGUAAACAUGCAUUUCACGAAGACUGCUUACCCACGAACUCAAUGGAGCGCUGUACAAUCUGUACUACACAAAAGAGGGGACCGGGAUCUAAGGGCGUGGUCAAGUAAUGUCAAUCAUAGGAGUUUGCCAAUAGUGUCCAUCAAAGGCGUGGACAACGCAGGU